GUAAUCCCGGUGUAUCAUCAGAUGGUCACUAACAGCCUAAAUGUAAGUUGUUAUGAUUUCUGUGCAACAUGUCCUUUAAUUUAAAUUUUUUGUGCAUGU